rnacentral:rRNA from 1 species
AAGCCCCAGUAAACGGCGGCCGUAACUAUAACGGUCCUAAGGUAGCGAAAUUCCUUGUCGGGCAAGUUCCGACCUGCACGAAUGGCAUAACGAUGGCCACACUGUCUCCUCCUGAGACUCAGUGAAGUUGAAGUGUUUGUGAUGAUGCAAUCUCCCCGCGGCUAGACGGAAAGACCCCAUGAACCUUUACUGUAGCUUUGCAUUGGACUUUGAACCGAUCUGUGUAGGAUAGGCGGGAGCCUGUGAAACCACAACGCCAGUUGUGGCGGAGGCGUCCUUGAAAUACCGCCCUGAUUUGUUUGAGGUUCUAACCUGGGACAGUUAUCCUGUCCGGGGACCGUGCAUGGUAGGCAGUUUGACUGGGGCGGUCUCCUCCUAAAGGGUAACGGAGGAGUGCGAAGGUACGCUAGGUACGGUCGGAAAUCGUGCUGAUAGUGCAAUGGCAAAAGCGUGCUUGACUGCGAGACCCACAAGUCGAGCAGAUACGAAAGUAGGUCAUAGUGAUCCGGUGGCUCUGUAUGGAAGGGCCAUCGCUCAACGGAUAAAAGGUACUCUGGGGAUAACAGGCUGAUACCGCCCAAGAGUUCAUAUCGACGGCGGUGUUUGGCACCUCGAUGUCGGCUCAUCUCAUCCUGGGGCUGUAGCCGGUCCCAAGGGUAUGGCUGUUCGCCAUUUAAAGAGGUACGUGAGCUGGGUUUAAAACGUCGUGAGACAGUUUUGUCCCUAUCUGCCGUGGGCGCUGGAAGAUUGACGGGGGCUGCUCCUAGUACGAGAGGACCGGAGUGGACUCACCUCUGGUGUACCGGUUGUCACGCCAGUGGCAUCGCCGGGUAGCUAUGUGGGGAAGAGAUAACCGCUGAAAGCAUCUAAGCGGGAAACUUGCCUGAAGAUAAGUCUUCCUGGAGGCUAGACCUCCCUAAAGAGUCGUUCGAGACCAGGACGUUGAUAGGAUGGGUGUGUAAGUGCUGUGAGGCACUCAGCUAACCAUUACUAAUUGCUCGUGAAGCUUGAUCCU